rnacentral:lncRNA from 1 species
AUUUUGUGUGCAUUUGUACCUACUCACUAACGAUAUUCUCCUCCUAUUUUGCAGGAGGAAAAUGGAAGAAACGGAGAUACUUUUAGUGAAACAGAAUAAACCACUGAACAGGAAAAAUGAGGAAGCUGUGAGUACCAGUGGAAGGAACGAGCCAGGAAGAGGGACUGGAACCAUCUCAGAAGCCAGGCCCCUCAGGCUGGAACUUGCCCUGUCUCCUCGCAGAUGAGCUACCUCUUGUGUUUAAGAAUUAAAGGAAGAUGAGCUAGGAAUCAAGAAAUACGCAGAACUGAUUCCUGUCACUGGCGCCACCCUGCCACUUGCCCAGAGCUGUGGUAUAAAUUUUUUUAAUAGGCUGAAAUAAAAAUAUGAAUAGUAUUUUGGUAUUAAGCAUUAAAUUGAUAAAGGCUAUGAGAUACACCUGCUCUCAACCAUGUUAAUUUUUUAUUAUUGGUAUUAAUAAAUUAUUACUUACUAACAUAUUAACAAGAAUUGCAUUGAGAAACAAAGCAUCCACAGGCCAAAUCUUCUGAAUUUCAAAUGUUUAUAUUAAUGCGUUGUAUUCUAGAAAAGUAGAAUUGUCUUAAGUAGCUUUGUAAUAUAAAGUCAUCUAUCAGCCCAUUACACCUAUUAGAAUGUUUUAACCUUUAUCUCCCACUUUUUUGUUUCUAGACUGAGUGUACUUGGUCUGGUAUUUGUGGCAUAACUUACGGAACACAUAAGAAUGAUACAGAUACUAUUUAAUGAUGACCUAAUACAAGCUUAGAUAGCUAAGGUGAAAGCUUCUAUGGCCUUAACAUUUUCCUCUUGAAGAAUGUAUUUUCUGUAAUAAAAUACAGUGGCUACUUGAAAUCUAUAAACUUAUGUGAGGUCUGGAUAAAUCUGAGCAACUUUCUUCUUUGUGCUCCA